rnacentral:rRNA from 1 species
AGCGAACGCUGGCGGCAGGCCUAACACAUGCAAGUCGAACGGAUCCUUCGGGAUUAGUGGCGGACGGGUGAGUAACACGUGGGAACGUGCCCUUUGGUUCGGAACAACUCAGGGAAACUUGAGCUAAUACCGGAUGUGCCCUUCGGGGAAAUGAUUUAUCGCCAUUGGAGCGGCCCGCGUCUGAUUAGCUAGUUGGUGAGGUAAAGGCUCACCAAGGCGACGAUCAGUAGCUGGUCUGAGAGGAUGAUCAGCCACAUUGGGACUGAGACACGGCCCAAACUCCUACGGGAGGCAGCAGUGGGGAAUCUUGCGCAAUGGGCGAAAGCCUGACGCAGCCAUGCCGCGUGAAUGAUGAAGGUCUUAGGAUUGUAAAAUUCUUUCACCGGGGACGAUAAUGACGGUACCCGGAGAAGAAGCCCCGGCUAACUUCGUGCCAGCCGCCGCGGUAAUAC